GCGACACCCAGUUUGCGCUCUCGGCU
rnacentral:piRNA from 1 species